UUAAUCUGUGAUUCAUUCGCUCAUUGGACAUUGUAGGCAAUCGUAUAGUAAUCAUGUUUUGAAGGCUCCCGGUACCAAAAUAAAGUAAGAUUAUUUUGUGAACUCAACAAAACGUACCCAUAAUAGGUUGUUAAUAUAAAAAUGGCGGUGUCCUCGUAAUAAUAUCUAAAAUUUGGAUAAAUCAAAUUGAAAAAUUGCGAAAGAUAAGUAAUAUGCAUUAAAGAAUGCAUGAAAGAGCAAUUGAAAUAGCAAGCAGAACAUUGUGCAGAGUGCGCGAAGCUCCCUGACCCUGAAGUUACAAAGACAAAGGUACAUAAAUAACUCCCAACGAGUUAAAAGUUAUGCUGAGACGAAGUUGAUAGAAUUCUCUGAAAGUAUAAGUGCAAAUGAUUUGGGAGUUCACAAAAACUAGAGCAGCUGGUCAAAAUUGUGUUGAUUGCCGGCUUGCCCAAACAUUGAACAAGGAAGUACCGGCUUGGGAGAUGAUCAUGUGGUAGUGAGAACUUCAAGUUGGGGGAGGCGCCACCAUGUCUACACUUAAAAUAUUCAUAUUUGUAUCAUACAUCUGAAAAUGUAAAAAUAUAGUACCUACAUUGUUUUCAUUUUAAGUUUAAUAAAAAUGAAAUUAAAAGUAUACAUAAGUACUGCAAGUUUUUAAAUGAUUUAUCAACUCUUUAUUAUGCAAAUACAAUAAUUGAUUUAAAUUUAAAAUAAAAAUAUAAAUACCAUUAAACUAUUAGUGUAGGAAUUAUUCAUUGUGAUGUAAAUAUAAAGUUUUUGUUUAUUGCAUUUUAAGUUUUAAAGGCUGGUAUUAUAAAUAAAAAUUUAAUUUUUUUUAA